AAAUGAUUUAGUGAAAUAUUGAGUGCUAAAAUUCUACAACGAUAAACGUGGUCCAUCAUGGUCCCACCUCAUGCAGAGCGAACUAGGUUGUAGAAGAGUAGGGAGGGAGAAAGGAGAUGGAUGGGGCAGAGAGUGGGGAGCAAAGGUCAAGAUCAACAAACGUUUGGAGUGGGUAAGAGGGUUUCACUCAAAUGAAAACCCGAGCCUUCAGAAGAUAAUUCAGCCUGGAUGCUCAAUCUUGGACACAAAAUUCAGCCAGGGAUGCCAAGUUACAUUCAAUUUAGCAGUCCUAUCAUAUAGAGAAGCUGUUAAGGCUUUUAUUGAUGUAAUUUUACUUUUCACACUUCACAAAUAAAUUUUAAAGUAAACAUAACAUAAAAAAUUGUGAGAAAUGACCGUUUCCCUUAAAAUAUAUGUAUAUUACCUUUCUC